CGACCACGAGCUAUAUAAAGUCGGGUGAAAAAGUCGGUUUUAACCAGACGACGACGAUUAGCUGCCGACGAAGCUAACCUGAACCAACAUGGCGUCCGUGCGAUCCACUAUCUCCCUCCUCGUCCUCCUCGCCUUCGUCUGCGUCGCCGUCGCGCAGCCCACGUUCUUCCUGAAGAAACCCUCCUACGGCUACGGCUUCGGUUACGGCGUCGGCUACGGCUCGCACGGGGCUACCUUCCUACGGCUACGGGUCCUACAACUAUAAGCCGUACGGACAUUCCUAUGGAUACGCAUACAAGCAGCCCUCCUAUCAUUACUGGUAAAUUUCUCCGAUUCCGGGAGAUAAAAUUCUAGUACAAAAAAGCAAGCUAUUCCUGAACGAAACAAAUCAUUCUAUUUGUGACUGUUCUUGUUACGUGACUGUUCUAUGUUUGUAAUAUCAAUUUUGUGGCAUUUGUAGGAAACGGCGGAUAAUAUUAUAAAUAUUGUUCACCGUUCUAAGACCACUAUCCCUGUUUGGAAAUCGAGAUGUAAAUCAUUAUAUUUAUUUGCCAGACUUAUUUAUCAACAUGACAACAUCUCUUUUACAGUAAAGCAUUGUAAAAACUG